rnacentral:rRNA from 1 species
GAUGAACGCUGGCGGCGUGCUUAACACAUGCAAGUCGAACGAAGCACUUUAUUUGAUUUCCUUCGGGACUGAUUAUUUUGUGACUGAGUGGCGGACGGGUGAGUAACGCGUGGGUAACCUGCCUUGUACAGGGGGAUAACAGUUGGAAACGGCUGCUAAUACCGCAUAAGCGCGCGGCAUCGCAUGAUGCAGUGUGAAAAACUCCGGUGGUAUAAGAUGGACCCGCGUUGGAUUAGCUAGUUGGUGAGGUAACGGCCCACCAAGGCGACGAUCCAUAGCCGACAGGGGAGGGGGACAGGCCACAUUGGAGCUGAGACACAGCCCAAACUCCUACGGAAGGGAGGAGUGGGGAAUAUUGCACAAUGGACGAAGGCGUGAUGAAGCGACGCCGCGUGAGCGAAGAAGUAUUUCGGUAUGUAAAGCUCUAUGAGCAGGGAAGAUAAUGACGGUACCUGACUAAGAAGCACCGGCUAAAUACGUG